rnacentral:rRNA from 1 species
AGUGAACGCUGGCGGUAGGCCUAACACAUGCCAGUCGAACGGCAGCACAGUAAGGGCUUGCUCUUACGGGUGGCGAGUGGCGGACGGGUGAGGAAUACAUCGGAAUCUACUUUUUCGUGGGGGAUAACGUAGGGAAACUUACGCUAAUACCGCAUACGACCUACGGGUGAAAGCAGGGGAUCUUCGGACCUUGCGCGAUUGAAUGAGCCGAUGUCGGAUUAGCUAGUUGGCGGGGUAAAGGCCCACCAAGGCGACGAUCCGUAGCUGGUCUGAGAGGAUGAUCAGCCACACUGGAACUGAGACACGGUCCAGACUCCUACGGGAGGCAGCAGUGGGGAAUAAUGGACAAUGGGCGCAAGCCUGAUCCAGCCAUACCGCGUGGGUGAAGAAGGCCUUCGGGUUGUAAAGCCCUUUUGUUGGGAAAGAAAAGCAGCAGGUUAAUACCCCGCUGUUCUGACGGUACCCAAAGAAUAAGCACCGGCUAACUUCGUG